AAUCAAGAUUACAAUAUAACUCAGAAGUGGCUAACAGAAAUGACUAAAAAUUCAAGAACUUCCUCAGGAAACAAGAAAACAUAAAAUCUGGACCGUGUUUGAUUCUCAGGAACUUUUUGAAUUUUGGCUAGCCAAAGGAGGUGGAUGCGGCGAUGCCUUUGGACUUUUGCAUUUUCGAUGGAACGGUGACAGUUUGAUGGAGGCGUCCGCGCGCCAAUACGUACACGUAUCCUUUUCAAGAAAAACUGGUUUCCGAGUGAGGAUUGAUUUUUUCUUAAGGUGCAUUUUCCUUUUUCUGUAUAAACUUUUUUGUGCAAGUGGAGGAUCGGAAAUUACCAAUGAAGGGCAUUAGAGGUGGCGUGCGUUGCCCAAUGAUCCAAAAUUGCCCCCUUCCUCCACAGCAUUCUGACGUCAGAUCAACCGCCUGCAAUUGAGUGCGAGAACCUGCUUUACGACGAUGAGUCAUUCCUGCAAGUCUAUCUCGCCAACGACACGGUGCAGGGUCAUAAGUCCACGGGCCAAAAGUCCAGAGGAAAUAUUAAUUUGUAAAUAAUAUGGAAACGUUCAAUUUUUUUUUAGUUUUUUUUAUAAUUUUUUUUUUUUGAAAAUUUUAUGUUUUUGUUUUUUAACUGACUGGAUAGGAGUUUCGUUUGUAAAUCUAAUGAAGUUAAUUUCGAAAUUUCACACAAAGCAAAGCAGAACAAACAUUUAUUCAAAAGACGAUUAGUUUGAAGUCUCAUAGAGUGUAUAAUCGCCACUGAUUUGAGGAACUAUCUCGCAAACAAAGCGGGCUAAUUAAUUAUCAAACGGAGAUUAAAAUCAAAUAAAUCCCAACUAAUUGGCGGAAAGCGAAGCGGAAAAAAAUGUUCGCACAUAAGAAUCUAUUUAAAUUGCACAUGCCAAACGCGAAGCGGAAAAAAAAAUUUUCUCACGGGAGAAUCAAUUUUGAAGUGUAAAAAAAAAAAAAAUCGCGCGAAUACUUUUAUAAAAAUUUGUGAUUACAAGCUGACCCGGCGGACUUCGUUUCGCCUCUUCUGAUAUUUACUUCCAAUUUUGGAGUGUGUCAAUCUUUUCAAAAAAAAAAAAAUUCGGGUCACAACAUCAA